rnacentral:misc_RNA from 1 species
GUGAAUCAUGGGAGUCCCUCUUAACCGGAGAAGGCCCAAUCCACUAUUUUCACAAACCCCAGUGCAUUUGUCCCUUUUUUACACACACCCUUGUGCAAUUGAACAAGUCCAAUGAAAUCUUUUUGAUAAAUGAAAGAA